rnacentral:rRNA from 1 species
AUCUCUUUCUCACUGUUCCUCACCUCCUCGUAUCGAUCUCCCCUUCUGUGCUCUCUCUACCUUUACCUCUCCUCUAGUCAUCACAUACUAAGACUUCCUCCACUACUAGUACUCUCCGUUCCCUGCCACACCUGCCGCUGCAGCGUGUAGCACCGCCGCCACCAGCCGAGGCCGCACGACCGUGACCGCACCUGCCACCGCGUCGACCCCACCCACCACCCGGGUGAGCAGGAAGACCCGAAGAGGACGCAAUGGAUGAUGUGGAGAUGGGAGGACCGGUUGACGAUGGCGAUGGGCCUGGGGCAGAGGCCGCGGCAGUUGGCCCUCAUGUAGCUGCGGCAGGCCACGAUGGAGCCAUUGAUUAGCUGCAUCAAUGCAUAAUUAGAGUUUCGAGUUUCGAUUGGGCACGUACCGACUACCUAAUUAUUACUUGACAACUUCCGGCCUUCUUGCACGACGACACGCCCACGCGCGUCAUGCACUUGGACACCCCGUGCGAACACCCGAUGUGGUAGUGCCGUUCGUGGUCGUACCACAUUCAUGUGACUGAGAAGUAGAAGAAAGAAAAACGUUCGUGAUCUUACCUGAUACUAAUCAAUCGGGUCGUUUAACUCUAACUAAACCCGCACUGCGUACGUAUUUAUUGCGUAGGGGACCUCCGGCCUCUCCCUUAGGCAACCGUAAGAGCGUAUUCUAACGUGACGUGCGUACGUGCGACGUGCGAUACGCGCACUGUGGUGGUGGUCGAACAACCACCUAGGCAGUGCCAACGUGCGUGGACGUGCAUGGAGCACACUGUAGUUGUGUGGACGUGACCAUCGAGAUAGAAAGAAAAAAACUCGUAUACGGCUACGGCGGCGUCGGAGGCCUACAGUAGAAACUCGGAUUUUUAAGGUUCGAACGGCACCGUAGGUACCAUGCUAGCUCUCCCAAAGUUGUGAUCGAUCCACGCAUUGGCAUACCCCUAAAACGAAAACGAAAAUUUUAGACUAAUUAAGUAAAAAAAAGAAAAAAUCAACUCAACAAUUAAGUAAGAAAGCUGUUUUUUCAUCUCAUCAUCAUACAGGUAAUAUCUUUUAAUAUGUCAUGAUGGAAAGAUGGUUUAAUAUUCUGUAAAAACGUCUAAAAACGUGUCGUUUUUGCACAACAUAAAAUUAUGCCUCCGUCAUGAAUAAGUAAGUAGGUCUUUAAAAAAAAACCCACUUGUAAGUAGGUCUAAAAUUUACUAUUCAUACGUACAUACAUCGCGCCACUUCGCUCAGUUGACGAAGGUGGCCAGCCCAAAGUCGUGCUGCCCUACGUUGAGCAGCCCCUCGUGCAUGUACCACGACAAGCCGGAUUACGUCGACGACGAGAGGGUCGAAGGGUCGGAGGUGUUGUAGCGGACCGAGAGGCAGCAGCGGCAGCGGUGGAGGAAGCCGAUGAGGAAGUAGUCGGAGCCGGAGACGCGGCGCUUCACCCGGAGGGUACCACCGCACGCGCCGUGGGAGCGGCCGCGGUCGCAGCUGCGCGGGGCACUGUUCCGGAAGUUGCAGGAGGACCGGGAGCCGUUGUAGCGGAAGAGGAUGUGGAAGCGGCUGCACGAGUAGCUCUAGGUCCUGUGAGAGUUCAGAGGAGGGCGCCUCUUGUUCUGGUACUUCGCGCGCAGCGAGAUGCCGGAGUCGUACUGGUGGCAGAAGAUGGAGGAGGAGCCGACGUGGCCGAUGCGGCGGAAGCCGCUGCUGCGGGGGCCCUUGUAGGAGUGCCCAGACCGGAAGAUGCUCGGGAUGACCGAGCAGCUGCAGCGGUUGCACACGCAGUAGUACGUGGAGCGCCCGCGGAUGGUCCACAAGCGCGUCGGGUAGAAGCGCUCCGACCUCUCGAUGCACCGCACGGCCACCGGCCUGCGGUUCUAGUAGUUGCGGUGGAUGAUACACGCGCACGGCCCGGCCGGCAGAAGCAGCCACGGCCACCGCGGCGAGUUCGACCACAACGCGUGGCAGUAGUAGUACAAGUGGUGCGACCACCGGUACGACGACGGCAAAAAGUUGCGGCACGACCCCGAGUAGCCGCGCGAUCCUAAGACCGGCGACAGGCAGAUGAAGGGACAGUCGUACGUGUAGCGCUCUGAGUUCUAGUCCGCGCCGCUCCCCGCCACCACGACCGACGUCCGAUACUCGAAACAGACGGAGGAGUAGAGGGAGCGGCGUUCGUAGCCCAGGCACGUCCUGUAGCACGUGUUGGAGUUCUGGCGGUGGGGGAAGAUCUUACAGCUGACUAAUAAUUGCUCAUGAGGUAUAAACAUCAGCUGCCUAAUAAUUGAGCUGACUAGACUCCCUGGGUACGUUUCCACCGGAGUGAAGAGGAAAAACCGCAAUUAAACUUAACUAACUAGCUAGCUAGCUAGUUCACGUAGGUAAAAAGAACUACAACUAAGGUUGAAACGUUAUCAUGGAUGAGGGAGGCAGGGUUUUAUAUUAUUGCAAAAAAUAUGAUCACAUCAUGCUUUUUGCAAGAAUAUAAAAUUCUGCCUCCCUCAUGCAUCGAACGUUAACAGGAUAGUUCAUUACGUUCUACCUGAUUUAUUACCCAGAUGCAGAUCUUGUGUCC